rnacentral:rRNA from 1 species
UCCGGAAUUAUUGGGCGUAAAGCGCGCGCAGGCGGUUUCUUAAGUCUGAUGUGAAAGCCCACGGCUCAACCGUGGAGGGUCAUUGGAAACUGGGGAACUUGAGUGCAGAAGAGAAAAGCGGAAUUCCACGUGUAGCGGUGAAAUGCGUAGAGAUGUGGAGGAACACCAGUGGCGAAGGCGGCUUUUUGGUCUGUAACUGACGCUGAGGCGCGAAAGCGUGGGGAGCAAACAGG